ACGGGUGAGUAACGCGUGGGAAUCUACCCAGCUCUACGGAAUAACUCAGGGAAACUUGUGCUAAUACCGUAUACGUCCGAUAGGAGAAAGAUUUAUCGGAGUUGGAUGAGCCCGCGUUGGAUUAGCUAGUUGGUGGGGUAAUGGCCUACCAAGGCGACGAUCCAUAGCUGGUCUGAGAGGAUGAUCAGCCACACUGGGACUGAGACACGGCCCAGACUCCUACGGGAGGCAGCAGUGGGGAAUAUUGGACAAUGGGCGCAAGCCUGAUCCAGCCAUGCCGCGUGAGUGAUGAAGGCCCUAGGGUUGUAAAGCUCUUUCACCGGUGAAGAUAAUGACGGUAACCGGAGAAGAAGCCCCGGCUAACUUCGUGCCAGCAGCCGCGGUAAUACGAAGGGGGCUAGCGUUGUUCGGAAUUACUGGGCGUAAAGCGCACGUAGGCGGAUUGUUAAGUUAGGGGUGAAAUCCCAGGGCUCAACCCUGGAACUGCCUCUAAUACUGGCAAUCUCGAGUCCGAGAGAGGUGAGUGGAAUUCCGAGUGUAGAGGUGAAAUUCGUAGA
rnacentral:rRNA from 3 species